CGUGCCCUGUAGUGGGGGAUAACUAGUCGAAAGAUUAGCUAAUACCGCAUACGACCUGAGGGUGAAAGUGGGGGACCGCAAGGCCUCAUGCUAUAGGAGCGGCCGAUGUCUGAUUAGCUAGUUGGUGAGGUAAAGGCUCACCAAGGCGACGAUCAGUAGCUGGUCUGAGAGGACGAUCAGCCACACUGGGACUGAGACACGGCCCAGACUCCUACGGGAGGCAGCAGUGGGGAAUUUUGGACAAUGGGGGCAACCCUGAUCCAGC
rnacentral:rRNA from 1 species